AUUUUCGUAAGUCAAAAAGUAGCCAACGUUAGCUAGCUAGCUAGUCAUAAACCGGAAGAACAAUUAUCAUAUCAGUAACAUCAGCAUGCCAGCUAUCUGGCUGGCUAACAGCUGAGUUAGCUCCGUAGCUAAAGUUAGUUACUACAGUCGCGUUUUUGUGCACGAUUUGAUUUGGCAAUACAUAUACAGCUAACACUGGGUUGAUGGUUAACGGUAACCCUUGUUUGCGUGGUCAGCUGCUGUACAGUAGUCAGCAAAUGGCUGUUUAAAAACUGUGUUUACAUAGCUACCUAGGUACUUUUUUUAGCCAGCUAUGCUAACGUUAGCUAACUUGUUGUAAACAAACCCAUUUCGCCCAGUGCACGGUCUGUUAUGCACAUUAAUGAACCAUACCUGAAGAAGUUGAAAAAACAUCGAAUUUGACAUAUUUCUUACACUCUACUUUGGGACAGUUCUUUACAGCAAAAACUCAUAACGUUACACUUCAAAUUGACAAAACUGAUGCUGUUAUUUGCCUUCAGAGAUAUUUGACACAACAACAACCUUACAGCUAAGACACGACAGUGACUGAUGGAGUGAGUCUGGCAAGCCACGUGCAAUCUGACCGUAGUUUAAAUGAUCUGGUCCACAAAAACCUUAUUCGCAGUGGAAUUUAUAAUAACAUUACCCAGUGCUCAUUUGUUUACAAUGAGAAAUUAUUUGGUCAGGGUUGUGUUUACACUGAGAAGAUUGAACAUGGUUCAAAGAAGUCUAAUGUUUUGCGCAAGAUUAAGGACUUGGAUUCCCUCCCCAUGGUUACCAAGGAUGGAUUUAGAAACAUUGUGGCAUUGCAAAGUGAUGCACCCCUGCAGAUGGGUCACAAACAUUACCUGUCUCUUUGGAAUAAUGAGGGUCCUGAAGGCAGAGUAUAGGUUCUAGAUGGUAAAAUGAUAAUUUCAGUUGCUAACUAUUGUGAGAAUUACAAUGGUGAUUACCUGAACCAGACUUAUUUUGAGGUCGCAGACCAAAGUGUCACCAUGCCCCUUGUCAUGUAGAAUGAGCUGUGGCCAGAGUGGUACCAGAGACUGAAUGUUGGAACUGUGCUUUACUUCAAAAACUACACCCUCAAGCAGAGUAAUCCCAACAGGUCUCGACCUGACAUAGACAACCACAGAAUGAAGAGCUUUCACUCAGUAGAAAUCUGUCUGAAUCCUUGGAAUCCCACUGCACUCCUUACUGUGGUUCCAGCCAAGUGUGCAGUCUCAAUGGGGCUUGCCUAAGGUUUCCUACCAGUUCACCACCAGGUAAGUUCACAACCACAUUAAGCAGUUUAGAUGAGAUUGUAUGUAAAA